rnacentral:rRNA from 1 species
GGGACAGUGGCGAACGGGUGCGUAACACGUGAGAAACCUGCCCUGGAGAUCGGGAUAGCCCGAGGAAACUCGGAUUAAUACCGGAUAUGCUCACAGGACCACAUGGUCUGGUGAGGAAAUAGUCCGCUGCUCCAGGAUGGUCUCGCGGCCUAUCAGCUUGUUGGUGAGGUAAUGGCUCACCAAGGCUCCGACGGGUAGCUGGUCUGAGAGGACGAUCAGCCACACUGGGACUGAGACACGGCCCAGACUCCUACGGGAGGCAGCAGCAGGGAAUAUUGCACAAUGGGCGAAAGCCUGAUGCAGCGACGCCGCGUGCGGGAUGAAGGCCUUCGGGUUGUAAACCGCUUUCAGGAGGGACGAAAAUGACGGUACCUCCAGAAGAAGGCCCGGCCAACUACGUGCCAGCAGCCGCGGUAAUACGUAGGGGCCAAGCGUUGUCCGGAUUUAUUGGGCGUAAAGGGCUCGUAGGCGGUUUGACAAGUCGGACGUGAAAACCCGGGGCUCAACCCCGGGACGCCGUUCGAAACUGUCAUGACUAGGGUCCGGUAGAGGUGAGUGGAAUUCUCGGUGUAGCGGUGAAAUGCGCAGAUAUCGAGAGGAACACCAGUAGCGAAGGCGGCUCACUGGGCCGGUACCGACGCUGAGGAGCGAAAGCAUGGGGAGCAAACAGGAUUAGAUACCCUGGUAGUCCAUGCCGUAAACGUUGAAUACUAGGUGUGGCGAGUUAAUCCAUACUUGCCGUGCCGCAGCUAACGCAUUAAGUAUUCCGCCUGGGGAGUACGGCCGCAAGGCUAAAACUCAAAGGAAUUGACGGGGCCCCGCACAAGCGGCGGAGCAUGCGGCUUAAUUCGAUGCAACCCGAAGAACCUUACCUGGACUUGACAUUAUGGGUCUAUCCCUAGAGAUAGGGAGUGCUUAUGCGCCCAUAACAGGUGGUGCAUGGCUGUC